AUUGAACGCUGGCGGCAGGCCUAACACAUGCAAGUCGAGCGGAUGAAGGGGGUUUGCUCCUGGAUUCGGCGGCGGACGGGUGGGUAAUGCCUAGGAACUUGCCGGGUAGGGGGGGUUAACGUCGGGAAACGGGCGCUAAUACCGCACAGGUCCUGAGGGGGAAAGGGGGGGAUCCCGGGACCCCCCGUAACAGGUUGAGCCUAGGUCGGAUUAGCUAGUUGGUGGGGUAAAGGCCUACCAAGGCGACGAUCCGUAACUGGUCUGAGAGGAUGAUCAGUCACACUGGAACUGAGACACGGUCCAGACUCCUACGGGAGGCAGCAGUGGGGAAUAUUGGACAAUGGGCGAAAGCCUGAUCCAGCCAUGCCGCGUGUGUGAAGAAGGUCUUCGGAUUGUAAAGCACUUUAAGUUGGGAGGAAGGGCAGUAAGUUAAUACCUUGCUGUUUUGACGUUACCAACAGAAUAAGCACCGGCUAACUUCGUG
rnacentral:rRNA from 1 species